AACGAACGCUGGCGGCAGGUUUAACACAUGCAAGUCGAACGCCCGGGCAACCGGGAGUGGCAGACGGGUGAGUAACGCGUGGGAACGUGCCCUUUGGUUCGGAAUAACCCAGGGAAACUUGGGCUAAUACCGGAUAAGCCCCUUACGGGGGAAAGAUUUAUCGCCGAAGGAUCGGCCCGCGUCCGAUUAGCUAGUUGGUGGGGUAACGGCUCAACAAGGCGACGAUCGGUAGCGGGUCUGAGAGGAUGAUCAGCCACACUGGGAAUGGGAAACGGCCCAGACUCCUACGGGAGGCAGCAGUGGGGAAUAUUGGACAAUGGGGGCAACCCCGAUCCAGCCAUGCCGCGUGAGUGAUGAAGGCCCUAGGGUUGUAAAGCUCUUUCGGCGGGGACGAUAAUGACGGUACCCGCAGAAGAAGCCUCGGCUAACUUCGUGCCAGCCGCCGCAGUAAGAC
rnacentral:rRNA from 1 species